rnacentral:rRNA from 1 species
AACGAACGCUGGCGGCGCGUCUUAAACAUGCAAGUCGAACGGCAGGAAGGGGCUUGCCCCUUCUGAGAGUGGCGGACUGGUGAGUAACACGUUUGUGACCUACCUUUUAGUUGGGGAUAGCUAUUAGAAAUAGUAGGUAAUACCGAAUGUGACCGUACCUGUUAUAGGGGUACGAGGACAUGAGCUAAGGCUUCGCUAAAAGAAUGGCUCGCGGCCCAUUAUGCUCGUUGGUGAGGUAACGGCCCACCCAGGCGAUGAUGGGUAUCCGGCCUGAGAGGGUGAACGGACACAUUGGGACAGAGAAACGGCCCAGACUUCUACGGGAGGACGCAGUUAAGACUAUUCCGCAAUGGACGAAAGGCUGACGGAGCAACGCCGCGUGGAUGAAGAAUGACGAAAGGUUGUAAAAUCAUUUUAAGCCUGAUGAAUAAGAACAGUAGGGAAUGAGUGGGCGGUGACCGUAGCGCUUGAAUAAGCACCGGCUAAUUACGUG